UUUCCGUAGGUGAACCUGCGGAAGGAUCAUUAAUGAGUUGUCAUGGGGUUCGAUGCUGGCAGCCAAUUUUUGGAUGCAUGUGCUUGCCCUAACAAUCAUCUUCCAAACACCUGUGCACAUUUUUGAGGGAGCCUUGAGUUGGUUGCCGCUCUUGGGUGAUUUUCUCACAUUCCCUUAAAUCAUUAUACGCUAUUAACAAUGUUGAACGUGCUCUGUGCCGCAAGGCUAUUAAUAUAAUACAACUUUUAACAACGGAUCUCUUGGCUCUC
rnacentral:misc_RNA from 1 species